UACGUAGGGGGCAAGCGUUGUCCGGAUUUACUGGGCGUAAAGAGCGUGUAGGCGGCCACGCAGGUCCGUUGUGAAAACUGGAGGCUCAACCUCCAGCUGUCGACGGAAACCGUGUGGCUAGAGUCCGGAAGAGGAGAGUGGAAUUCCUGGUGUAGCGGUGAAAUGCGCAGAUAUCAGGAGGAACACCUGCGGUGUAGACGGCUUACUGGACCAUAACUGACGCUGAGGCACGAAGGCCAGGGGAGCAAACGGG
rnacentral:rRNA from 1 species